rnacentral:rRNA from 1 species
AGGAAGAGGCCAGUCCCCAAGUGUAUUGUUGAUGGUAAGCCCAAGCACCAGGGUGAUACCCAGCUCAAGUUCUAGAGGAACAAGUGGUGUGUUGCUGAAGAAAGAGUUGGGCGCAAGCUGGAUGGUCUUCGUAUGCUCAACUCUACUCGGCCAAUGAGGUAUAUACUUUCUAAUUGCUACAAUGUGUGA